ACCACCAGCAUGGGAACGGCAGUCAGUCACAACGUUAAAACAACUGACAGGUGAAGUGAUGCGCCAGGUGGGAAGCCCCACCUUCAAUGUGCAGGACCCAGAGGAUCCCACGUGCUGACUCCUGUGACCACAAAGUUCCUCCAGACGUCCUGAGUCGCUUCCCCUGCAGGAUCACAAACCAAAGAAGAACAGCUACUGAUGAGAGUAUUUAAAUAUUUGUUGAAGAAAACUCCAUCCGGUAAAACAAAGCCGUAAUACGUGAGUGCUGCUGUCUCGGAGAUGUUUCAGGCUCGCUCCUGCCUGAAACACACAUUUUAUUUGGGUCCACGAGGUCCCACUUGAGGCACUUCCUCCCUCCUCGUCGCUUUCUGACGGCGCUGCAGUGGAGAGCAAAUUGUAUCUGUGGCAGCAAAGAGUUUUGUGCUGAACAGUGAUUCUGCUCAAGCAGAACUCAUUUGAUGCCUCAUUGAAAGCCCAUUAUGACCACGCUGGAGCAAAAUGAACUCUUAUUGACAUGGUCUGGAGCCAGCUGGGCCAGGGCGGCAGCGGCGGAGGAGCUCGGUUACUUGCCCAGUUCUGUGGCGUGGUUUUUAUUUGUAUCUUAUUCUCAUUCUCCUCACUGCAUCCAGUUCUGCCUCGCUGCCCCUCCACCCCCACCCCCACCGCACCGCUACAUGCACACUGUGAUUUCAGAAAUGCUGGCCAUUAUCAGAGACAGCCUCUUUGGCCCAUCAGAGUCUGACAAGCCCACCUGACAUGACGAGCCAGGCCUUCAACUGCUGCGGUCAGAUAAACACAUAAGAGCACUAAGAGCAGAUGGGCUUCGCAGACAUGAAGUAAAGGAUGAGAGCUGGUAUGGACAAAUAGGACGGGUGAGACAAUGACAGAGCGGGAUGGGAAAAAUGGAUGAAGAGAAAUAACGAGUGUGAUGGAGGGAAUACGAUUUCUGUCUGAGGCCACCAGAGGAUUUUCAGUUUGAUGGGAUAUCUGCCAGAGGAGCGUGAAGAUAAUCUAUUAACCACUCGACCGUGUCACGUGCGCUCCAUUACAUGUAGAGGAGUAGAGUCACCA